rnacentral:tRNA from 1 species
GCGAACCAACAGGAUACAUAUUUUCUACUGGUCUCCGGAACCAGAGGUCGGAGGUUCGAACCCUCUCAGGCGCGCCA